GCUGCUUUCAUUUUCCCUUGGCUGAGGAAACGAUGGUUUGGUUUUGCAAAGGAAUGCUGGGGACUUCUGCCAGCUUGCUAACGGCCUUGCCCCAUUCAGAUGCAUCGAACUCACAGAACAUCGCUCCCCAGCUGCUGGCUCGCGGUUCUGAAAGUGCCUGAAUAGAAAACCACUCAUUUCCCUUCGCAAAAGAGGCACCCAAAGCAGAUAUUUCAAUAUAUUCCAAUUUAGCCGAGGGAAGCCAGAACAUGGAUGUUGUUGCCAAGGAAACCACCUCCUUCCUCCUGUGUGCUGUGCAUACGUGUAUCACUUCAUCUCUCUGCUCUCCAAGAAAAAGUUUGCCAACUCCUGCUCUAGAUUGAUGGUUACAAAGUCUGACAGAGGAUACAGUUACAGGGACAUGGCAAAGCCAGAAAAACGAGGACCGGGAGUCCAGCUUUCAACAAAGCCAAAUCUAUUCAAUCUCCAGACUACCCUUUGUACCAAGGAAGUCACGGGGUGACUCCAAGCAGGGCCCCCUUUGCAUUCAGCCUGCCCUUCUCUCAGCCCAGAUAAGAGACUGGAGACACAGAGAGGCUCCAGAACUUACCCAAGGUCACACAGCUUCUAAAUGGGUGUUGUCGGAACCUACUUUCAGAGACCUGAUUCCAAAACCCUCACUGAUACUUUCCGUGAGUCCAGAUGAAGAGAGGGCUUCAAGGAAAAUCCAUUCAGUGCCAGGAUGCUACCAGCUCCCUGGGGCAUGGGACUGCCAUCCUCUCCUAGGCAUCUGUUCUGAUACUUCCAAUGUAAAUGUGGAAAAACUCAAGUUUCAUAAGUUUUGCUCAUGUGCUCUGCCUUGGAGAGGGUGGGAAGUAGAACAGACACUGACCUCAUGUUUUGCUGUUGGUUACCUCUCAGGCAUGUGAUCCUUGUACCGGAGGUUUCACAUCACGUAGCCCCUGCACAGCUGAUCUGUGAAUGGGAAAUUGGGUUGGGCCAUCACCAGGUCCCCUUCCAGUUAAAUAUUUGUCCCAAGUCCCAGAUGAUUUGAUAUGAGAGCCCCAUGCCUAAUGCUGUUUGUGGAUUCAUUGAAUCAAUUAUUGUUUCGUUCAUUCAAUUCAUUCAACAAAUAGCUUCUCUGUGUCUACUACUAUUUGCACUCAAUUCUCAGAGAAGUAAAUGUCUAAAGUACCCACUUAAUAACUUAAAAGCUGAUUUUACCAAUUUCAUUUCACUGUAAGGCCUCCCAAAGGAUUAACAUGUUAGUGUGCACCCCCUCUCGCACCA
rnacentral:lncRNA from 1 species